rnacentral:rRNA from 1 species
AACGAACGCUGGCGGCAUGCCUAACACAUGCAAGUCGAACGAGACCUUCGGGUCUAGUGGCGCACGGGUGCGUCACGCGUGGGAAUCUGCCCUUGGGUUCGGCAUAACAGUUGGAAACGACUGCUAAUACCGGAUGAUGACUUAAGUCCAAAGAUUUAUCGCCCAAGGAUGAGCCCGCGUAGCAUUAGCUAGUUGGUGAGGUAAAGGCUCACCAAGGCGACGAUCCUUAGCUGGUCUGAGAGGAUGAUCAGCCACACUGGGACUGAGACACGGCCCAGACUCCUACGGGAGGCAGCAGUGGGGAAUAUUGGACAAUGGGCGGAAGCCUGAACCAGCAAUGCCGCGUGAGUGAUGAAGUCCUUAGGGUUGUAAAGCUCUUUUACCCGGGAUGAUAAUGACAGUACCGGGAGAAUAAGCUCCGGCUAACUCCGUG